rnacentral:misc_RNA from 1 species
AGUUAAGCAUGUUUUACUGUAUAGACUGGUUCUUUAAAAGUUAUAUGUACCUGAUGCAGUUAUAUGUGAUAAGGAGGAAUUUUCUGUCAAAAUUGUGAAAUUUAAUACAUGUACCAUUCUGACUCCAGAAAUAAAAUUGGGACACAUUUUUCUGAGAUAUGGGAAUAUUAUUGGGCUAACUAUGCAACAGGACUAGGGGCGGCAUUACAUGAGUUGGGACAUACAUUUGACCUGGCUCACACCCCCAGUGGAAUCAUGGCGCGAGGUUUUGAUGACAUCAAUAGAUUUUUUACUGUUCAGAGACACUUGUCUGAACAUGAAAAUAAACAGUUUUCAGGUGUGUGUGAGGAAAACAACCUCAGUGGAUUGAGCCAAAAUGAAGCACAAAUCUUUAUAGGAAAUCUUAAAACCUAUUUCAACCCAGGUGAAAAACUGGAUGAUACUGCACAACCAUUAAUUAUAAACUUGGAAUCAAAAUUUAAACCAAUAGUGCCCUUCAGUUUGAAAUACAGUGUGCAGAAUUACAAUGGCACCUGGCAACACCAAAUAAUUACUGACCAAAUAAAAUCUGAGGUAGUUAAUGAUAUGCAUCCUGUAAAUAAUGGUGGAAUACUUGAAACACAGUGUCGAAAAGAUAAGUGCAGUUCCUGUUGUUUGACAUCUUUACAUGUAUCUAAUACACACUCCAAUAAAACAAGUUUUCAACAAGGAUUACUAUUCCAGCAGAAAUUACUCUCAGAUGGCGGCGCCCACUGGUAUAGGUCCUCUGCCGUUCUCCUAUUUCAUCACAGGUGGUUCAACAAACAGAAACCAGUAAACCAGAGAAAAGGGCCAGAAAUAAGAGGGAACAGUGUGACAUCCAGCAAUGGACUCUGUUUGAUUGAGUUGCGAUCUGACCAAAAGGGUGAAGUGUUUCAAUUUUGGGAAUUUGAACACAACAAUUACCCAAGAAGCUUUUAUCUAAGGACAGGAAUUAUUCCUGAAGGGGCCACACAUAUAACUAUUUUUGUGGAAGACAAACAUGGGCUUACUGCUGAAAAGAAACUAAGCAUUCAAAAUGUUUCAAUAAUCUAGAAAAAUAUUUGUCAAGCGCUUUCAAAAUGAGAGCGCAGCAUUGUAAUAAUACUACAGUUUAAGCUACUUAUCAUACAUUUAUGUCCAUUCAUAUUCUAAGAUACGUACAUGAUUAUAUUGUCUUAAUAUGUCCACUCACUUACUGCACAUUGCACAUUUGUAUAUAAUUUUAUAUGUAUUAUAAUUUGUAUUCCGAUGAGUUGUAAAGCUCAAGGAUAAUAAAUUAAUUGAAUUG